rnacentral:snoRNA from 12 species
UUGUCCUGGCCUAUGCUUUUGCUGCUCCCCUGUGCUCACUUCUGACAGAGGGAGUCUGGCAGGACGCACAGUAAUUCUCCCUCUCAGUUUAGGAGGGCCAUCCUGAGAAAAGGACUGGCUCUUAAAGGCACGAGAGGACAAC